rnacentral:rRNA from 1 species
UACGAGGGGUGCAAGCGUUGCUCGGAAUUAUUGGGCGUAAAGGGUAGGUAGGUGGUCUCAUUUGUCUGAGGUGAAAGCCUUGAGCUUAACUCAAGAAGUGCCUUAGAAACGGUGAGACUGGAGUCCUGGAGAGGGUCGUGGAAUUCCUGGUGUAGCGGUGAAAUGCGCAGAUAUCAGGAGGAACACCAAUGGCGAAGGCAGCACUCUGGGACGUGACUGACGCUGAGACGCGAAAGCGUGGGGAGCAAACAGG